AUUGAACGCUGGCGGCAGGCCUAACACAUGCAAGUCGAACGGUAACAGGAAGAACCUUGCUUCUUUGCUGACGCGUGGCGGACGGGUGAGUAAUGUCUGGGAAACUGCCUGAUGGAGGGGGAUAACUACUGGAAACGGUAGCUAAUACCGCAUAACGUCGCAAGACCAAAGAGGGGGACCUUCGGGCCUCUUGCCAUCGGAUGUGCCCAGACGGGAUUAGCCAGUAGGUGGGGUAACGGCUCACCUAGGCGACGAUCCCUAGCUGGUCUGAGAGGAUGACCGGCCACACUGGAACUGAGACACGGUCCAGACUCCUACGGGAGGCAGCAGUGGGGAAUAUUGCACAAUGGGCGCAAGCCUGAUGCAGCCAUGCCGCGUGUAUGAAGAAGGCCUUCGGGUUGUAAAGUACUUUCAGCGGGGAGGAAGGGAGUAAAGUUAAUACCUUUACUCAUUGACGUUACCCGCAGAAGAAGCACCGGCUAACUCCGUG
rnacentral:rRNA from 1 species